rnacentral:rRNA from 1 species
UACGUAGGUCCCGAGCGUUAUCCGGAGUUACUGGGCGUAAAGUGUUCGUAGCCUGAUAUGUAAGUCCGUUUUCAAAUAUCUCGGCUCAACCGAGAAAAGGGAAUGGAUACUGUAUAUCUGGAGGUCUUUGGGGGUUAGUGGAAUUUCCAGUGGAGCGGUGAAAUGCGUUGAUAUUGGAAGGAAUGCCAAAAGCGAAAGCAGCUAACUACAAAGAACCUGACGGUGAGGAACGAAAGCUUGGGGAGCAAACGGG